AGCGGUCACUAGAGGCCUUGACGAAAGAGAUUUCCAGGAGACUCAGCAUAGAUGUUGAAUCUUCCUAUUGGAGGAGAAGCUCCCGACUCCCUUCUAGUCAUGGCAGAGCAUGGAAUUCAGAACAAUUCUACUGGUGAGGACAAGGUAAGUUGGACAAAAUAUUAACAUAUUUUCGUUUAAAGGCAUUAUGACACUAAAAGGCAGUGAGGAACUUUGGGACCAAGACCUGGGAAAAGAAAAGUCAGAGGGAUGAGCUGGGCCCAGUAGCUCAUGCCUGUAAUCCCAGCACAUUGGGAGGCCGAGGCGGGUGGAUCUCCUGAGUUCAGGAGUUCGAAACCAGCCUGACUAACAUGGAGAAACCCUGUCUGUACUAAAAAUACAAAAUUAGCCGGGCGCGGUGGUGCAUGCCUGCAGUCCUAGCUACUCGGGAGGCUGAAGCAGGAGAAUGGCUUGCACCCGGGAGGUGGAGGUUGCAGUGAGCCGAGAUCGCACCAUUGCACUCUAGCCUGGGCAACAAGAGUGAAACUAUGCCUCAAGAUGAAAGAAAGAAAAAAGAAAGAAAGAAAGAGAGAAAGAGAGAAAGAGAGAGAGAAAGAAAGGAGGGAGGGAGGGAGGAAAGGGAAGGAAGGAAGGAAGGUCGGUCAGAGGGAUGAACACAGCCCUUGGGACCUCUUUUCCCCAAAGGGUAUCUGCCAAUUCUGAAAUAAAAGGAUCAAAGGCUGAGAAGUUGAGUGGAACUUUUAAAAGACUCAUGGAUCUAACGGGAUGAAAGUUAAAGCUCAGGGCACACCAACGGGGAUCCUGGCACACCCCUAUGCUUUUGGGAGUAUUACCCCCCAAAAAAAAAAAUCCAGGCUGGAGGGUCUGGUAGAUCCACCAAGCUUUUAGUUGAAACUCCAAAGGGAUACACCAAUGGACUAAGAAUGUACCAGUCAUAAC
rnacentral:lncRNA from 1 species